UACGGAGGGUGCAAGCGUUAUCCGGAUUCACUGGGCUUAAAGGGUGCGUAGGCGGGCAGGUAAGUCAGUGGUGAAAUCUCCGAGCUUAACUCGGAAACUGCCGUUGAUACUAUUUGUCUUGAAUACUGUGGAGGUAAGCGGAAUAUGUCAUGUAGCGGUGAAAUGCGUAGAUAUGAGAUAGAACACCAAUGGCGAAGGCAGCUUACUGGACCGCAAUUGACGCUGAGGCACGAAAGCGUGGGGAUCAAACAGG
rnacentral:rRNA from 1 species